UGGGGAAUAUUGCACAAUGUGGGAAACCCUGAUGCAGCGACGCCGCGUGAACGAAGAAGGUAUUCGUAUCGUAAAGUUCUGUCCUAUGGGAAGAUAAUGACAGUACCAUAGAAGAAAGCUCCGGCUAAAUACGUGCCAGCAGCCGCGGUAAUACGUAUGGAGCGAGCGUUGUCCGGAAUUAUUGGGCGUAAAGGGUACGCAGGCGGUUUAAUAAGUCGAAUGUUAAAGAUCGGGGCUCAACCCCGCAAAGCAUUGGAAACUGAUAAACUUGAGUAGUGGAGAGGAAAGUGGAAUUCCUAGUGUAGUGGUGAAAUACGUAGAUAUUAGGAGGAAUACCAGUAGCGAAGGCGACUUUCUGGACACAAACUGACGCUGAGGUACGAAAGCGUGGGGAGCAAACAGG
rnacentral:rRNA from 1 species